GGCGGCCAUAUUGUAUCCAUAGCAACGGAGAUCGCACCUUCAUAUCUCCCGGCAUCCUGAGCGCCAGAAGCGGCCGUCCCGCCCCAUCCCCGGCAUGGCUUUCACCCUCUGUGAUUUACUGUAUGUCUUUCCUCACACUAACUCUGACACACACCGAGCUCAGUCCCCCCGGCAUGGCUUUCACCCUCUGUGAUUUACUGUAUGUCUUUCCUCACACUAACUCUGACACACACCGAGCUCAGUCCCCAGCAUGGCUUUCACCCUCUGUGAUUUACUGUAUGUCUUUCCUCACACUAACUCUGACACACACCGAGCUCAGUCCCAGGCAUGGCUU